CAGCCGCCACGGUAAUACGAAGGGUGCAAGCGUUAAUCGGAAUUACUGGGCGUAAAGCGUGCGUAGGCGGUGAGUUAAGUCUGCUGUGAAAUCCCCGGGCUCAACCUGGGAAUGGCAGUGGAUACUGGCUCGCUAGAGUGUGUCAGAGGAUGGUGGAAUUCCCGGUGUAGCGGUGAAAUGCGUAGAGAUCGGGAGGAACAUCAGUGGCGAAGGCGGCCAUCUGGGACAACACUGACGCUGAGGCACGAAAGCGUGGGGAGCAAACGGGAUUAGAUACCCGAGUAGUCCCUGUCUCUUAUAC
rnacentral:rRNA from 1 species